GAAUUAUGAUUAAAACGUGCCAAGUUUAGAUUGUUGUUCGUCAGCCGGUGUGCGUCCUAUGCCGACCUCCGGGGCUGGGUGACAAUUGCUGGAACGCANCCGACGUCGAUUUGAGCUAACGCAUAACCCGCGUCAUCUCAAAUACGAGUCUUAUUCUAAGCCGGAAGUACCCCACUUCCGACUAAGAAUAAUUUGGCUACUGAGCAUUGUCACCCAGCCCCUCCGGUCUCAAGAGUGUGAGGGGCCACGAGUUGAAGCCGAGCAUUGCCUAGCCAACGGAUUAAUGCGGUUUUGGCAUUANUCCGUUGGCGUAGCAAGCACAGGCUUUAGUGGCCCCGAACACGUUUUGGGAAGCCGCUCAAAUGGCUAAUGAACGACCACCGAACUCGGUACAAUUUGUUGUUCGCUAUUUGAUACUGGAACUUUAAACAAAGCGUUAGGUGUAUUAAGCCCUCUGUCAAGAGCUUAAAUCUUACUACACCAAUUCAGGAUUAGUGAGCUAUCUCAAUAUCAUUUUCACCCUGACAGUUGAUUGACAAAAUUAUGGUUUAUGAAAAACAAUGACGAAUUCACCAAAAGUUGGGUACGCACAUGUCCGCCAUUCGAACACUGUCCCGACUGGAAGGCGUUUCGGCCAAUGCCCAGUGGUGAAAUUUCACUUAGCAAGCGUCCUUGGCUUGGUUAGUGAAAGGCCAGUAUUUGAGACGUGAUUUUUCGGCUCAAAUCUGUGUCCAUCACGUUCCGGCAAUUGGCAGAAAUGCCUGGAAGUCGGUGUAAGGCGCACACACCAAGCAAGUCUACGCUAGUCCGAACUUUUUCCAGCGGUCUUAAGCUGGUUGCUUUUGAACUUAAGAAAUGGCACGUUUUAAUCAUGACUGA
rnacentral:misc_RNA from 1 species